rnacentral:misc_RNA from 1 species
AAAUUUAAUAUAAAAAUAAUUUUUGAUAGCCUCCAACAAAUUUAAGGUAGUACUUUUCUCAACAACAAUUCAAACAACAAUAUUAAACAAGCUCCAAGUAUACUUUCUGAAUUCUGAUCUCAACGAGAAAAAUCAGCAGUGCCGAAGACCUUAUUGGGUCUCCCUCCACCCUACACCUAUUUUUCUGGUCAAAUAUUAUGGUAAAUAAACAAAAUACAGUAAAAAUAAGCACAAUAUACUAACUGCUGAAUUUAUUGCCUCUGUUUAUGUGGAUCAUUCAUGUGAAAUUUCAAUUCAAUUGGCCAUCAGGUUUGUUAUCUAAAUUGCUCUUUAAACCAAAACUUUUUGUUAAUACUAUUGUAUAAAAAUUGGAAUUAUUUUUCAAAGUAAUGAACGAGGAGAGUUUUUUGCCCCCAAUAGAAGGAGCAAAAUGAAUCAACAGAUUCAACUGAAUUACAAUUUCAGUUUUGAAUUUCAGUUAUAUGCUGCAGCUUUAGUUUCCAACAGUAAUUAAAUUUAUCUAUAAUCAACCAGAUGCGGCUCAAGUUUCCACUGUAGCUAACUAUCAACAAUGAACUAUUAUGAUGACUGAAAAUUGGCAGGCAGAAUAUUGUUAGUAGCUACUGACCAUUGAAACAAAUUAAAUAAAACAGCAGAAUAACAAGAAGAAAGAUUCACUAAAACAAAUUGUUGAAAAGCAGGAAAAAAGGAAGGGGGGAAGAAGAAUAAGGGGAAAACAAACUUUAAAGGCUGACUUACCAUAUCACCACCGCGGACAUGAA